rnacentral:rRNA from 1 species
AUGCAAGUCGAGCGAUGAAGCUCCUUCGGGAGUGGAUUAGCGGCGGACGGGUGAGUAACACGUGGGUAACCUGCCUCAUAGAGGGGAAUAGCCUUUCGAAAGGAAGAUUAAUACCGCAUAAGAUUGUAGUACCGCAUGGUACAGCAAUUAAAGGAGUAAUCCGCUAUGAGAUGGACCCGCGUCGCAUUAGCUAGUUGGUGAGGUAACGGCUCACCAAGGCGACGAUGCGUAGCCGACCUGAGAGGGUGAUCGGCCACAUUGGGACUGAGACACGGCCCAGACUCCUACGGGAGGCAGCAGUGGGGAAUAUUGCACAAUGGGGGAAACCCUGAUGCAGCAACGCCGCGUGAGUGAUGACGGUCUUCGGAUUGUAAAGCUCUGUCUUUAGGGACGAUAAUGACGGUACCUAAGGAGGAAGCCACGGCUAACUACGUG